CCGCGCGCUUCCUCAGCCGCCCGCCCGCCGCGCGCUUCCUCAGCCGCCCGCCGCGCGCUUCCUCAGCCGCCCGCGACGUCAGGAGGCCCCGACUCGCCUGCCCGCGGCCUCCCUUUGGUUUGUACCUCCUCACGGAGGCGAUGAAAUCCGUUUGGGGUCAGCGACAGGGCAGCGCUUUCGGGCCUCCCGCAAGUCCACCUCCUCUGCCGGCGUCUGUCGAGUGUUCUGCGCUGAAGGAGCUUUUCCUGCCAGAAAACCAAGUUCCUGUCCUCUUUGGGGGCAUAUGUGGAAUGUCGUCCUCCUGGAGAGUCACCGGGUCAGGCUGUGCCGGGGUUUCCACCCCCGGUCACCACAUGGCCCUGGUCUCUGUGCACUUUCUGGCGCGCCCAGUCCACCUUGGCUUAGCUGACUCUUCAUCUGGAUUCCGGGGAACUGCCAGGCGGCCAGAGGCUGAGGGCACAAGCAUGGGAAUCAUCCACUGGUCAGCCUCCAGGUGGGUGCACGGCAACGUUCAGUAGCAGCUCCCCAAUUACAGGAUGCCACCAACACUUUGAUUUCACAGUGUUUUUUUUUUUUUUUAAUUAAGGCUAUUACUUCUUAGAAGAGUUGAGAUGUAUGGGUUGCCUCAGAGGAUAGUAGAGUUCUCUCACAGCUGUGCUCUGUUCUCCCUCACAGGAUUUCUUCCUUCUUUGGAUCUUGCCCGAGGAUGGUACAGAGGAGGGGGCUAUCCCAUGGACAGGAAAGGGAUGUUCCCCCAAUGAGGCUUAUCCAUCCCCCUCUAGAUGCACUGAACCCUGGGAUUUCUCCACAGGGUGUAGAGUCGAAUGCACAGUUUGUGGUAGAGGAGGACUGUGUUUGUGCUUCUCCCCGACAACUCAUGGUCAAUCUCAGACCAUUUGGAUAUAUUCAGUAGUUUGGGUAAACUCUUGGGGGGCAUUUCGUAGAUGCAUUUUCUGAGAAGGGAAACCUUCUUGUUCCCCUUCUUAGUGGCUUUGGCGGGGUAGGGGGAAGCUAUAUUCCUUUCAUGCGCCAGACUGAAUUGUCACCCAUCAGGGUUUCAGUAGUUCAAGGCCCUAAUCAACCCACCAAGGCCACUUUCUUUCAGCUCAGUCCCAGUCCCCAUGUUACUGUGGGAAGGAGUGUCCCCCAGUCACUCUCUCCUGCAGAAACUCCACCAGAGAUCUGGGACUCAGGGAACCUGUGUGGCCAGGUGACGGCCUCUCCCAGCCCAACGAGAACGCAAGUACUUGGUAUCUCCCCUGGCUUCCCCUACUUUACUUUCUCUUCUGUGAUACUCAGGGCAGUGCUCCCAACUCACACAAGGUACCAUCUAGCGCUGUGUCCCCUUCUUAGCAACUAAGGCGCAGGAGCAUUUUGUACCCAGAAGAGGUGAAAACCUGGGGAGGGUCAACUUUCUGGGGUCUGUUUUGGAGCAACAGAGUGAGGUUCCUGAGAGAAGGUCUGUGAGUCGUUGCCCCUCCUUGGGUCCCUGGGUUGGAGCCCAGGGAUUUGAAACAUCUGCUGUCUCUUCCUGGCUCCCCAGGCAGAUCAUGAGCUUGGGGUCAGUGUUUCCUCAGAGCCAUCGCACAAAAGCCAGGCCUUCCAAUUGGGCCACUUUGUGGUCAUGCUCUCCCUUCCUUUGCAGGAGCCUUUGGGACUAGAAACAACCAAGGGUGUCCUGCUUUUAAAGAGGCAUGUUGAGUCAUCAAGGACCGGUUUAUAGCACAGACCACAAAGGAAUAUCCUUUCAGCCUUUUGGAAGGGAGCUGUGGGGUCUGCAGUCCCCAACCUAGAGUCAUGCCAAAAAUGUCCUUAGUACUAGUAUGUUGCUUUUAAAAUACAAGGUUUGUGGGGUUUUGUGGUUUUUUAGUUUUUAUUUUUGAAGUAUAGUCGAUGUACAGAAUGAUAAAAAGAUUUGCAAUAUACAGAAUCACAAUUUGAAAACUAUAUUCCAUUGAUACUUAUAAAAUAUUGGAUAUAUUCUCCAUGUCGUACAAUAAGUGUUUGUCCCUUACUUUAUACAUAAUAGUUUCUAGGUCUUAAUCUGUCUCCCUGUAUUGCCCCCGCCCCCUUCCCUCUCCUCACUGGUAACCACUAGUUGAUUCUGUGUAUCUGGGAGUCUCAUUCUUUUUUCUUAUAUGCAGUAGUUUGUUGUUGAUAUUUUUCAGUUCCACGUAUUACUGAUAUCACACAGUAUUUGUCUGUCUGAGUUAGGUUAUGUAGCAUAAUACCCCCUGUGUCCAUCCAUGCUGUUGCCAAUGGCACAGGUCAUUGUGUUUUAUGGCUGAGCAGUAUGCCAUUGUGUAUGUAUACCUCCUGUUUGUUAUCCAUUCAUCUGUGGAUGGACACUUAGGUUGCUUUGAUAACUUGGCUACUGUAAAUAAAGCUGCCAGGAGCCCUGGGAUGUGAGUAUCU
ensembl:lncRNA